AUUUAUAUAAUAUAAUAAAGUAUAAAUGAUUUCCAAUCAUUAAGUCUAAAAAUUUAGUAUAAAUA
rnacentral:tRNA from 1 species